CCUAUACGUUGCCUCGGCGGAUCAGCCCGCGCCCCGUAAAAAGGGACGGCCCGCCCGAGGACCCCUAAACUCUGUUUUUAGUGGAACUUCUGAGUAAAACAAACAAAUAAAUCAAAACUUUCAACAACGGAUCUCUUGGUUCUGGCAUCGAUGAAGAACGCAGCAAAAUGCGAUAAGUAAUGUGAAUUGCAGAAUUCAGUGAAUCAUCGAAUCUUUGAACGCACAUUGCGCCCGCCAGUAUUCUGGCGGGCAUGCCUGUUCGAGCGUCAUUUCAACCCUCAAGCUCAGCUUGGUGUUGGGACUCGCGGUAACCCGCGUUCCCCAAAUCGAUUGGCGGUCACGUCGAGCUUCCAUAGCGUAGUAAUCAUACACCUCGUUACUGGUAAUCGUCGCGGCCACGCCGUAAAACCCCAACUUCUGAAUGUUGACCUCGGAUCAGGUAGGAAUACCCGCUGAACUUAAGCU
rnacentral:rRNA from 1 species